rnacentral:rRNA from 1 species
GGAGGCAAGAAGCCCAAUCCCUUCACCAGAGGUCAGGUGAACCAUGUCAAUGUGGAGGAAGUUUAUGACCAGCCUGACACCGUUGUUGGUAACUUCUUGAUUAAUUCAUUUACACCCCUUGUUCUUUUUGACACUGGUGCAUCACAUUCAUUCAUAUCAAGGGGGUUUGUAGAUAAGUUUAAGUUGCCGACUGUAGCCCUUAAGUCACCUAUGUUAGUGAGUUCCCCAGGAGCAGAGUAUAUGGCUAGUCAGGGAUGUUUUCAGUUGCCAUUGACCAUAGGGAGACACGUUUUCCCCACAGACCUCAUCAUCCUAGAAUCACAAGGAUUGGACAUAAUUCUAGGCAUGGACUGGCUAUCCAAGUAUGAAGGGAAUAUUGAUUGUGCCAGUAAGUCGAUUCUUCUCACCACCCCAGAGGGGAAACGGAUCAAGUAUGUGUCGAGGCAUACGCCAAGGAGGACUCAAGUGAAUUCUCUUUCGGGAGUUGUUUAG